UUACGGUCAUAUCACCUUGAAACACCGGUUCUCGUACGAUCACCGAAGUUAAGCAGCGUCAAGCCCGGUCAGUAAUUAGAUGGGUGACCGCUUGGGAAUACCU
rnacentral:rRNA from 1 species